rnacentral:lncRNA from 1 species
GGCACACUCAGCACUGCUCAGCAGUCAUGCUAAGCUGAAAAAAUCUGGUGUAACUGUUCUGUACCCAAGCUUUGCCUGCACAAAAUGUUAUGCAAGAGCACAUCAUAAUGGAGACCAUUCUAUGUGCACAUAGAUUCUGAAAGACCCAUACUGGGACAGCAUAGGCACAUCUCCUCCUAUCCCUGUGUCCACUCGGAAACUGUGAACACUUGACCUCUGGGCUUUCUGCUUGUGGAAUGAGCAAUGCCAAUGAUAGGUGGUGCCAGUGGGAGAUGGAAGCACUGAGCAUCACCAGAAAGGCGAGCCUGUGACAGAUUUCAGCAUACCUUGGACUUGAGUCUGCAGGAAAAGGACCAUGUUUGUCCAGCCUCCAAAUCCAGAAGCCACCAUCUAAGUUAUGGGCUGGUUCAGUCUCCACGUGAGUUGGCAGGGAAGAGAUCUGUCUGCCUAUUCUGUCUUCACUUGAGAAACAAGCCAUGCAGUGCUUUAACCAGCAGAUGGCAACCGCAAACAGCCAGCCAGCAGAACGCUCAAGGGACGCGCACCGCAGGGUCACGUACAAAAAGCAGGCGCAGUACUGUGCUAUUGCAUCACCCUUGUGAUUACAUUUACUGUACUUCUGCAUUUUUUGCUGCUUUUCCACGAGGAAAAAAAAAAAAAAAAAAAUGAAAGAAUGCAGUAACAACUGGCCUCUCAGUGGGAAAAAAAAAAAAAAAAAAAAAGGCUUAUACAUCCCCAAGCAUGCACAACUGUUUGCACAUCUGAAGCUCUCUCUCACUGAUGUGUAUUUUUUGAGGACAGCUGAGCACACAGCUCAGCAGGGUAAAAGGUGCAGCAUGAUCUCAGACCAUUAGAGACCUGGCAAUCCACAGGAACAUGGCAGGUUCAUUCAGGUCUCACAAGUGAGACAUGAAUCUGAACUUCAGCAGCACACAUUGCUUUGGCUGCAUCCAGAACCAUUUGAUGCUCCCUGAUCCCCAGCCAUCAGGACAGGUUAAGGUUACACAAAUAAAUACCUGCUCAUCACAGAGGCA